AAUAUUGGACAAUGCAGCCAACCCUGAUCCAGCAAUGCCGCGUGACUGAAGAAGGCCAACGGGUUGUAAAGCACUUUCAGUAGAGAAGAAAAGCCCAGGGUUAAUAACCAUGAGUCUGGACGUUACCUACAGAAGAAGCUCCGGCUAACUCCGUGCCAGCAGCCGCGGUAAUACGGAGGGAGCGAGCGUUAAUCGGAAUCACUGGGCGUAAAGCGCGCGUAGGCGGAUAAGUAAGUCGGAAGUGAAAGCCUUGGGCUUAACCUGGGAAUUGCAUUCGAUACUGCAUGUCUAGAGUAUGGUAGAGGGAAGUGGAAUUUCCGGUGUAGCGGUGAAAUGCGUAGAUAUCGGAAGGAACACCGGUGGCGAAGGCGAUUUCCUGGGCCAAUAUUGACGCUGAGGCGCGAAAGCGUGGGGAGCAAACAGGAUUAGAUACCCUGGUAGUCCACGCCGUA
rnacentral:rRNA from 1 species